CCCCUCUCAGGAUCUCACCUGGAGAGUUUCCAGCACUCUACCAGUCUUGACUACAGGAGGGAGAGUCAAGCAGAGCCCUACCCAUUCCAUUCCUAGCUUGGCCAGUGGCUAGCGAUUGGAAGGCCAUCUGCUACAUCA